rnacentral:lncRNA from 1 species
UACUACAACAAGUGAUACUACUACAACCAAUGGUACUAAAAAUAGGGGGAACAUAAUCGAGACGACAUUAGAAAGACAAAAAAAAAACAAAGAAAACUGUAUUAUAAAUAAAAAAAUAUUAAUAUGUGCUGCUUCUAAUGCUGCAAUAGAUGAAAUAUUAAAAAGAUUAACGUCGACAGAAGCUGGUAUAUUAAAUAAAAAUGGAGAUCCAUUCAAUCCAGUUGUCACAAGAUUAGGAAACAAUGUAAGUCUUGAGUUAAUAGAGUAUGAAAUCGAAUUUAAAAAUGCUUUAUUUACUUGUUUAAACGGUCCUUCUAGAAAUUCAAAAAAAAAGAUUUUAAAUAGUAGCACUAUUAUAUGUGCUACUAUAUCAGCUUGUAGUACUACUUUAAUGUAUGAUAAUGUACAUAAAUUUGAUGCUAUUAUUAUAGACGAAGCAUCGCAAUGUGUGGAAGUAGAUACACUUAUACCAUUAUCUUUUAACAGUAGUAAAAUAAUUUUUGUAGGAGAUCAAAAACAGUUACCUGCAACUGUUUUUUCUAAAUAUGCCAUAAAAAAUAACUAUAAAAGAUCACUUUUUGAUAGAUUACAAAUUAAUAAGAAUUUAGAAGAACAAAAAUAUAACUUAUUAUUAAUCCAGUACAGAAUGCACCCACAUAUAUCUUUAUGUCCGAAUACAUAUUUUUAUAAUAGUAAAAUUGUUGAUGCUGAUUAUUUCUUGUUUAUGUUGGCUAAAGAAAUAGAGUUAAAUAAGUUUAUUCAUAAUUGGAAUAGGAACGGAGGUUAUAACAAGAAGCAGCCUAUGUAUUUGUGCAAUGUAGAUGAGGAUGUACAGACAAUAAAAGAUACACAGGGUAAAGAAACUACACUAGACAAACAGUUAGAAAACAUUCUAUUCGAAUUUAACAUAUUUGAAUAUUUAAAAAACACAUUCGGAGAUGUUCCUUACAAUUUAAGUGAUAUAAAACUAUAUGAAAAAAAUAACUCCAAAAUGAACUGGUUCAUUAUACCAUUGUUAAAACAUAACAUUUUUUAUGAUAUUCAAUUUUCACAAAAUAAACAAAUAAAAAGCUCAUACAUUAAUAUUGAUGAAACAGAAAUAGUUUUACAGUUUAUUGAAUUUUUAGGUUGUAUAUUUAUGUCUGAGGAAAUACCAAAUUGGUGUAAAAAGAUAGGUAUUAUAACACCAUAUGCAACUGAAAAAUAUUUUUUGAAAUCUCAAAUAAAUGAUAUUCUUAUAAAACUAAAUUAUAACAGCUCUAAUGAUUUUA